rnacentral:lncRNA from 1 species
AUAAACAUGUGGAGCCCACUAACUAUUCAUUACUGUUCAUUACUGUUCAUUUGGCGGCUUGAUAGAGUUUUCAUUACUGUUCAUUACUGUUCAUUUGGCGGCUUUGAUAGAGUUUGUCUGUCACGGGUGAACAGUGAUGAAUAGUGAUGAAUAGUGAUUAUUUCAGCCUAUAAAUAAGAAGAGAAACGGAAAGAAGAAGAGAAGAAAAAAGAGAAAGGAAGAGAAGGAAGAAAGAGGAAAGAGAGAGCAGAGAGAAAUUCUCCUAGAGAGAAAAUUCAGUGAGCCACAUAUAUUGUAAACACUAAACUUGUAGCCCUAUUAUUUUACAUAGUGGAAAAGUUACUACUGCUGCUCUCCGAGGACGUAGGCAUAGCCGAACCUCGUUAAAUGCUGUGUCUCAUCUACUUUACGUGCAGCUCUGAAUUAUCGCCCAUAUUCUAGGUUAUUUUAUAACACGUUAUCAGCACGAGAAGCUCUCAGGUAUAAUUUUUGUGCUGCACUAUUAUUUAUAAUACUAACCAUUAUGUUGAUGUAAAGAAGAAAAGCCAACGCAUCUAGCUUUCCACUAAUAUAUAUAUAUAUAUGAAAAGUUGAUGGUAAUAUAAUAUACUAUAUUUAUCUGCUUUUCUAUUACUAACCAUUAACAAAAAUGGACCCUUGGUAAUACUAAACAUAUUAUCAGUGGGAGACCGUUACUAAUACUAACAAUUUAAUUUAUGAAUUUAAAUUACCGCACAUUUACAUUUAUUUAAAAGGGUGGUGCGGGUUUAUCGUCCACGCCUUUACGUUCAUUUAAAAGUAUGGAGCAGAAUUAGUGCCCAUACACGCACGUUUAAUUUAUGAAUUUAAAUUACCGCACAUUUACAUUUAUUUAAAAGGGUGGUGCGGGUUUAUCGUCCACGCCUUUACUUUUAUUUAAAGUGUGGUGCGGGUUUUAUCGUCCAUACCAGUAAUUUAUUUACCAGCAAUUUAUUUUAUAGACUAAAUGUGCUGUAUGAUGAGUUUUUACAGUAUGCAGAUCAGGACCAGCAAUUCCUUGAUCCUCAUCAUACAAUUACAUCAGGACUUGAAGAUCCUUGAUGAUGAUAUUGAUAUGAGAGCUGGCAGUCUCUCCGGUACUAUACUUGUAAACAUGUGAUUGGACUUAAAGGUCCUUGAUCCCUGACAUGUGAAUAAGGACCUGGGGUUCCUUAAUGAUGUAAUAGUACCGUAUUGGUUCAUAGUGCCGUACACAUGGAUGAUAACUGUACUGGCAGAUGUAUUGUACACAUGAAUAGAUAUGUAUUCAUGACUUGAUGAACAGUACUAUUCACAUGAAUAGUGACGUAUGCAUAAAUAUGAACCAUUUUGGGUAAACCGUCACUAUAUACAAAAGGGAACCUGCAGUUUCAUGGUGCCGUACACAUUGAUGAUAACUGUACUGGCAGAUGAAUAGAUACGUAUUCAUGACUUGAUGAAUAGUACUAUUCACAUGAAUAGUGACGUAUGCAUAAAUAUGAACCAUUUUGGGUAAACCGUCACUAUAUACAAAAGGGAACCUGCAGUUCCUUAAACUCAUGGAUGAGAAAUUAAAUGAGAUGCCAGAAGUUCCUCAAAAUAUGGACAAUUAUGUAAGGGCUUGAAGUCCCGGAAUAUGUACAGAAAAUUGUAAAAAUGUCCAUACCAUGAGAAUAUGUGGCUUUGGCCUGAAGUUCAAAAUUUAAGAGUAUUGAGGUAUUAUUACAAAUUGUGGUACACCACAUAUUUCUUUAGCAUAAGAAGAUGAUGAAUUUAAUAAAGUUCGAUUCUGUUAUAAUCGACACCUCAAGGAAGAAAUAUAUUUUGUGAAUUCCGGUUGUUAAGAAUACACCGCGAAAUGGAUAAUAUCAAUAUAAACUUCAAAUAAUGAAUUGAUGCUCCCCACAUAUUUUAUUAUACCUGGGCCAGAAGCCCAUGGAUCCAAAUAUAUGAGAGAUCCUGAACUUGAAGUUGUGGGUAUAUAGUAGUUAAUGCUCUUCACUACUAUAUUGCGAUAUUAUCGUGGCUUUUACUCAAUUCAUAUUUCAUGUCCAUUUGAAAAGGGCAAAUAAAUUCUGAGUUUUGUGCCCAGGCCAAAAGUUCCGGGCUACCAUGCAAUUUGGGAGAGACAAUGUGGUUAUUUGAACCUAUAAGGCACAAGGUUCCAAACCGUCAUUUUGAAAAGACGUAAAAACCACAGGUGCAAGUUUAAGAAUGUGCGCAAUUAUUAUUACAGAAACAUACAACAGAUAGAUUUUUUCCACCUGCAAUGAAGGUGCAGGCCCUGUAAAAUCUAUAAAAUUACAUUAUGUUCUGGAAGCCUCUGAAGGAAGAGGACGGCGCCUCUUAAGCUUAGCCAUGAGCUUCUCGUGGUCUCCCAAAAUUCUUUCAUUGGAGACCUGCAGCAUGUCUAGCCUUCUCAGUGUAUCAACUGAGUACGAACUCACCAGUUUCAACAAGGAAUUAUUCUCUCCUUUAAGUUUCUCAACCUCCUGUUGAGACUCAUGAAGCAUUCUUUGGAGAGACGAAUUUUCAGUUGUCAGCUUCUCAACCUCGUUUGCUCUAACACGCAAACGAUCAGCCAUGUUAGAAACAGAAACAGCACUCUGAAUGCUAAAAGCCAUUGAGUCAUCAAUAGCCUCUUCCUCAGACCUCCCUGUUAACAGCAUUUCAUCCAUUGGAGUAAUGAAAUUCCUAGCUACUAUGACAGCAGUAGCAUCAUUCAUCAUCACAGAAUCAUUAACUGUGAGAUGACGAUUUUGGGAUACAAAGGAUGGACGCCAAACUUUGGCGUCACUGUUUGCUGUUGGAGCAUCAUUUAAAUUGAAAUAAUUUGGGCAGGAAGAAGAGGAAGCCAUUUUUGAGAAGGUUUCGAAGAAAGUCUUAGGAAAACUAAAGUUUCAGAAAAUGAAGAAAUUUGAGUUGAAACGCAGUUGCUCCAAUCAAGUUUUACAAAGGCUAUAUCUAUAGGAGGAAAUAUGGCUACUGUUUUUCAGGACCCCAAUAUCUUCUCGAAUCCCCAUAUUAUCUUUUUCUUUCCUAGAGUCCAAAACUUCACGUGGCCUCUAAUAAUGCCUGUCGGCACUUUCGGCGUUUUCAAGCAUUAUUUUCAAAGCCGAUCUUGCUUUACGGAUUUCACGGAGCUACUUUUUCAAAAGCAUCCCGAAAAUCUCGCACUUUUUCAACAGCAUCCCGAGAAUCUCGCAAUUUUCCUAUGGUUAAUUUGAAAUUCACCGGUUCUACCUAUUCAUUGUAUUUGUGCAUAAAUGUGUUACUAACGAAAUUUUAUUUGCAGAAGACAUCCAGUUUACUCCAUACCUAGUGAUGCGAUAUCUACUUGUUUUUCUUAUCAGUAAGCACUUAAUAUGCCUGAGAAGCAAGACUAUCUCUGAUCAUCCAUUUAGGAAGCAAGACUAUCCCUGAUCAUGUUUCUGCAAGAUCAGGGAAUUGUAAAGGCGGCCUUAUGCUCUAAUCUCCUGAGGUCCUUCUAGACUAGGAGAUAUGAGAGCUUAUUGUCUGCUCCCACCAGCUUCCUUCCCUGAUUGCUUACCUUCUCUUGCAAUCAAUAUCACAUUAUUUUUGCAUUUUUUCUCUUUUUAUAACUCUCUAUUCAUAAGAGAUUUUAUUUCUUUAGAAUGAACAUCUGAAGAAUGAAUCCAUGAAGUAAUCCUAACUAUAAGGGUUAUUUGUUUUGACAGAGGGAAAAGAGUUGUGAUUUUUGCUCUUGCAGGAUAUAACUAGAUCAUCAAGCGCUACAUUACAUUUACUGGGCUGAUAUGAGCUUGAAUGAUACUUGAGAAAAGUUUCUCCCACCUAAGGAUGUAAGCAAUACUUGUGUUAUUUUAUGCUUAUAUACCUAUUUGAUAUUUUAUCUUGAAAGGUAACCAAAUGGGGAGAUAAGUCCGUUCCAAAAGAAUGACUUGUAUGUAUCCAUGAAUUAUUAAUGCAAAUUUUACAGAUUGCAAGUUGUAUACAUUGAUAAUACACUGCACAGAUUAAAAGUCCCAUAAGAACAUAACAUGGGUAUAGCAGUGAUCAAUAUGAUGCACGCCUGUUGCGUAGCAAAUGAUGUGGAUUGAAGUCCCAAAUGGACAAUCCUUUGACAUGUCAAUAUUGAUAUUAUGCACGCCUAAUGCGUAGCAAAUUAUAUGGGUUAAAGUCCCAUAAUAUGGGUUAAAGUCCCAGAAAUUAAUUGACAUGUAUGUAUUAAUCUGUGGCAUGCCUGCAGCAUGACAGAUAUAUGGGUUCUCAAUGUUCCAACUCCCUAAAUAGAGAUUAUCCACGCCCUACUACUAAAUAACGCUCCAAUGGAGGUUAUAAUCCACAUUCUCACAUAAUAAAAGCCCCAUGAAGUGGCUUGGGUACCCAAAGGCAAAUAAAUGCUUAUAAUUCAUGCAUGCGCAUGCACAUGAGAAUGGUGGGAUCAUGAAUUGAUGAAUGACAAUUUUUGGUUUUGGAGUAGCUACUCAAAUCAUCAAUGGGCUGUGUUGAUUGGAACCACGUUCAAUUAUUAAAUGUCGACAAUAUCAUUGGCCAAAAUGGAAUGAGGCAAUUCCAUUAUAGAUGAGAAUGAACGUGAAAGAACAAACCCACAGUACGAAUCCUAAAAGAUGUUAAUAUUAAAAGUUAUACUUGGGUGUUCGGAAUAAAUGUUUUUGACAUAAACAAGGGAUGUUGGGUUUUCUCCAUAUUUAUAGAUUCAAUUGUGCCCCUUUAUUGCACAUUUACGGAGACCAACAUGUUAUCUUUAAGGGUUAUUAAAUGCACAGAGCAUAUCACCUGAAGUGAUUCCCUAAAGAUGUAUAAAUAGCUAGGUUAAAGCUAUAUAAUGUGUCAUAGAGUUUAAUCCCUUUAAACAAAAUCCUUGAAAGGAUUGAAAUUGCAUGAAGCAAGUCUGUGGACAUAUGCCUGAAGCACGAAAUCUGUACUCAAUAUUAAUGUACAUAAAUUGCCUCAGUGAGUAUAUUGAUUAUAAUGUGUUUGCAACACAUUCAAGCUUCUCAAGAAUUCCAGAAAUAUUUGUCUCGACUUAAAGAUCGAGCAUUAUGCCAACGAGAUACUUGCUUAUACUAAGAAAGUAUUGAAGCAUUUUUAUGAGAAUUAUCCGUUGGGCACUUUAAGGAUUUUCCGGAAGUAUGUUGGACCGGACAUCAUAUUUUCCAGAUAAGGCUCAACUCCAUCACCAUCAUUUUGGGAUGAUGUGAGGUAUAUUUGAUGCUAUUUUCGCAUAACACCAUGUAUGGGCAUAUUCUUUCAAGUGAACUUAUAAAUAGCCCAGUCGUUAUUAGAUAUGCGGACUCUGAAAAUUUCUAUGAUUUACAUAGAGAUAGCUCACUGAAAAUAUAUUUACUAUAUGAAUUGUUGGUGGCUACAUCAUCCACUCACUCCGAAAGAUUCUCAAUCCAAAAGAUAGUCAUGAAGACAUCAGGGGGAGAUAUUAAUCAGGGGGAGCAUCCAGAAGUAUGCUAUAUAGAUUGUUGUACUCUUCUUUCCAUCAGUUCUCUACCUUACUAGGUUUUCUCCAAGCAAGUCUUUAAUGAUACAACCGACAUAUCAUUAGUGGUCUCCAAGGGGGAGUGUUGUAAAAGAAUAAAAGAAUAAACAUGUGGAGCCCACUAACUAUUCAUUACUGUUCAUUACUGUUCAUUUGGCGGCUUGAUAGAGUUUUCAUUACUGUUCAUUACUGUUCAUUACUGUUCAUUUGGCGGCUUUGAUAGAGUUUGUCUGUCACGGGUGAACAGUGAUGAAUAGUGAUGAAUAGUGAUUAUUUCAGCCUAUAAAUAAGAAGAGAAACGGAAAGAAGAAGAGAAGAAAAAAGAGAAAGGAAGAGAAGGAAGAAAGAGGAAAGAGAGAGCAGAGAGAAAUUCUCCUAGAGAGAAAAUUCAGUGAGCCACAUAUAUUGUAAACACUAAACUUGUAGCCCUAUUAUUUUACAUAGUGGAAAAGUUACUACUGCUGCUCUCCGAGGACGUAGGCAUAGCCGAACCUCGUUAAAUGCUGUGUCUCAUCUACUUUACGUGCAGCUCUGAAUUAUCGC